rnacentral:rRNA from 1 species
UACAGAGGUCUCAAGCGUUGUUCGGAUUCAUUGGGCGUAAAGGGUGCGUAGGCGGCGCGGUAAGUCGGGUGUGAAAUCUCGGGGCUUAACUCCGAAACUGCAUUCGAUACUGCCGUGCUUGAGGACUGGAGAGGAGACUGGAAUUCUUGGUGUAGCAGUGAAAUGCGUAGAUAUCAAGAGGAACACCAGUGGCGAAGGCGAGUCCCUGGACAACUUCUGACGCUGAGGCACGAAAGCUAGGGGAGCAAACAGG